AUGACACAACUCCUCACUGCUUUGAAUUGCACCCCAGCAUGUGAAAAUGGCCUAGGGUUUCCAGUUUCCAAACCUGAUGUGAUCUCCGAGUUGGAACUAGGGGAAGAGUCAUGGGUCUCAGACCUCCAGGGUUCAGAGGAAAGAGAGAUCCUGAGAGCUCCCUGCACAGGAACUGCAGUCGCAGCAGGGAGGGCUUUGUCUCAUUCUAAGAGAUCCGUCAUGGAGGUCAUGGCAGUGUUGGAUUCUGUGACUUCUUGCAACCUCCAUGACUUCUGCAGUGGCCACUGUGGUUGACUCCAGAGCUGCCCAAGCUGCUGGCUCUGGGGAACACCCAAGCAGCGGCCAAUGUGACUGGCCUUGGGGACCACUUGACCAGUUGUUCCAAGGGUAGCAGGAGCAGCUGCAGCUUGGUGGCCCCCAGCAGCACUCCUGGGGUGACUGGAGCAGCAGCUGGCCCCCUGGGGCUCCCCGCUCUGGGGCAGCAGCUGGAGUAGCAGUGGUUCUCAGGGCUUCUUCCCUGGUAGCUGGUGCUUGUUAUCCAUCAAAUAAAUAAAACACUUCCACCUGCAAGUGGAUUUAGCCCAGGACCCUCAGUGUCAGCAGCUCUUACACCCCCCCACUGAGCUCUCUGGUCAGGUAUCCUAGUGCGAGAAGCCUCCUGUUUAGAUCCUAAAGUAGUGUUUUUGCACUGGGGGAUGGGGGUGCUGAAAUUUUGGACCGGACAUUGUAGCUCCACUGUUAUUUUAUUGAAUUGCUUCAAAGCAGCAAGUCAAGAAAGUCUAAGUGCCGGGCUCUCUGCCAUGGAAACAGCUGCCCCUGCUCUCCAGGAGUCUGUAUGUUCCACCCAGCAAAGUACAAACCUGCUACAAACUGAAGGGGUGUCAGACAGUGACAGUAACACAAAUGUUCAGACUAUUAACCUAAGUCCCUUC
rnacentral:lncRNA from 1 species